rnacentral:rRNA from 1 species
GACGAACGCAGGCGGCGUGCUUAACACAUGCAAGUCGAACGGAAAGGCCCGCAUCAUUUUUGUGGUGGGGGUGCUCGAGUGGCGAACGGGUGAGUAACACGUGGGUGAUCUUCCCUGUACUUCGGGAUAAGCUUGGGAAACUGGGUCUAAUACCGGAUAGGACCAUGGUUUAGUGUCUCAUGUUGGAAAGAUUAUUGUUUUGGUGCAGGAUGAGCUCGCGGCCUAUCAGCUUGUUGGUGGGGUAAUGGCCUACCAAGGCGUCGACGGGUAGCCGGCCUGAGAGGGUGGACGGCCACAUUGGGACUGAGAUACGGCCCAGACUCCUACGGGAGGCAGCAGUUGGGAAUAUUGCACAAUGGGCUGCAAGCCUGAUGCAGCGACGCCGCGUGGGGGAUGACGGCCUUCGGGUUGUAAACUCCUUUCGUUAGGGACGAAGCCACACCUUUUUUGGGUGUGGUGACGUACCUUGUAAGAAGCACCGCA